rnacentral:rRNA from 1 species
AGCCCGCGUUGGAUUAGCUAGUUGGUGGGGUAAAGGCCUACCAAGGCGACGAUCCAUAGCUGGUCUGAGAGGAUGAUCAGCCACAUUGGGACUGAGACACGGCCCAAACUCCUACGGGAGGCAGCAGUGGGGAAUAUUGGACAAUGGGCGCAAGCCUGAUCCAGCCAUGCCGCGUGAGUGAUGAAGGCCCUAGGGUUGUAAAGCUCUUUCACCGGAGAAGAUAAUGACGGUAUCCGGAGAAGAAGCCCCGGCUAACUUCGUGCCAGCAGCCGCGGUAAUACGAAGGGGGCUAGCGUUGUUCGGAAUUACUGGGCGUAAAGCGCACGUAGGCGGAUCGAUCAGUCAGGGGUGAAAUCCCAGGGCUCAACCCUGGAACUGCCUUUGAUACUGUCGAUCUGGAGUAUGGAAGAGGUGAGUGGAAUUCCGAGUGUAGAGGUG